rnacentral:rRNA from 1 species
CCUACGGGAGGCAGCAGUGAGGAAUAUUGGUCAAUGGACGAGAGUCUGAACCAGCCAAGUAGCGUGAAGGAUGACUGCCCUAUGGGUUGUAAACUUCUUUUAUAAAGGAAUAAAACGAGGCACGUGUGCCUUUUUGCAUGUACUUUAUGAAUAAGGAUCGGCUAACUCCGUGCCAGCAGCCGCGGUAAUCCGGAGGAUCCGAGCGUUAUCCGGAUUUAUUGGGUUUAAAGGGAGCGUAGAUGGGUUGUUAAGUCAGUUGUGAAAGUUUGCGGCUCAACCGUAAAAUUGCAAUUGAUACUGGCAGUCGUGAGUACAGUUGAGGUAGGCGGAAUUCGUGGUGUAGCGGUGAAAUGCUUAGAUAUCACGAAGAACCCCGAUUGCGAAGGCAGCUUACUAAACUGUGACUGACAUUGAUGCUCGAAAGUGUGGGUAUCAAACAGGAUUAGAUACCCUAGUAGUC